rnacentral:rRNA from 1 species
UUGCUCUUCAACGAGGAAUGCCUAGUAAGCGCAAGUCAUCAGCUUGCGUUGAUUACGUCCCUGCCCUUUGUACACACCGCCCGUCGCUACUACCGAUUGAAUGGCUUAGUGAGAUCUCCGGAUUGGCUUUGGGAAGCUGGCAACGGCUACCCAUUGCUGAGAAGCUGAUCAAACUUGGUCAUUUAGAGGAAGUAAAAGUCGUAACAAGGUUUCCGUAGGUGAACCUGCGGAAGGAUCAUUAAUGAAUACAGAUGCCUGUCGAGCUUGCUCACGGGCUUUCUAUCAUAUCCAUAACACCUGUGCACUUGUUGGAUGAUCUAAAGACAUAGGGUAAAACCUAAAGUCAAUAGUCAUCCACUUACACUAAACAAUAAUGUAACAAAUGUAGUCUUAUUAUAACAAAAUAAAACUUUCAACAACGGAUCUCUUGGCUCUCGCAUCGAUGAAGAACGCAGCGAAAUGCGAUAAGUAAUGUGAAUUGCAGAAUUCAGUGAAUCAUCGAAUCUUUGAACGCACCUUGCGCUCCUUGGUAUUCCGAGGAGCAUGCCUGUUUGAGUGUCAUGAAAACCCUCAACCUUAGAUUGGUUAUUUGACCUUUCUUUGGCUUGGAUUUGGACGUUUGCCGAUGUCAAGUCGGCUCGUCUUAAAAGUAAUAGCUGGAUCUGUCUCGCGACAUGGUUUGACUUGGCGUAAUAAGUAUUUCGCUAAGGACAUCUUCGGAUGGCCCUGUUGCAGGACUAAAGACCGCUUUCUAAUCCAUUGAUCUUCGGAUUAAUAUUCAUAACAUCUGGCCUCAAAUCAGGUAGGACUACCCGCUGAACUUAAGCAUAUCAAUAAGCGGAGGA